rfam:Tropicibacter naphthalenivorans strain CECT 7648 genome assembly, contig: 0027
UGCUUAUUUUGCUCAGGCGGAGCUCGACCGCCCACUGAAACGAUGAUCCGGUUCAUCAGUGAUCACCGGGCCGAGUAUGGGGGCAAGCCAGUGGAUGCGCCACUGGUUCGAGCACCACUAGCGGCCCGAUCUGCCGGGUUUUGCCGAUCGCCCCG